rnacentral:rRNA from 1 species
ACCCAAUAGAUACCCCGGUAGUCCUGGCCCUAAACGAUGAAUGCUUGGUGUGGCGGGGUAUCGAUCCCUGCCGUGCCGAAAGCUAAACGCAUUAAGCAUUCCGCCGUGGGGAGUACGGUCGCAAGGACUGAAAACUCAAAGGAAGUUGACGGGGGCCCGCACAAGCGGUGGAGCAUGUUGGUUUAAUUACGACGCAACGCGAACGAACCUUACCCAGGCUUGAACUGCAGAUGACAUCCUACGAAAGUAGGCUUCCGCAAGGACAUCUGUAGAGGUGCUGCAUGGCUGUCGUCAGCUCGUGUCGUGAGAUGUUGGGUUAAGUCCCGCAACGAGCGCAACCCUUGUCUUCUGUUGCCAUCAGGUCAAGCUGGGC